UACGAAGGGGCUAGGCGUUGCUCGGAAUCACUGGGCGUAAAGGGCGCGUAGGCGGCGUUUUUAAGUCGGGGGUGAAAGCCUGUGGCUCAACCACAGAAUGGCCUUUGAUACUGAGGAUCUUGAGUUCGGGAGAGGUGAGUGGAACUGCGAGUGUAGAGGUGAAAUUCGUAGAUAUUCGCAAGAACACCAGUGGCGAAGGCGGCUCACUGGCCCGAUACUGACGCUGAGGCACGAAAGCGUGGGGAGCAAACAGG
rnacentral:rRNA from 1 species